rnacentral:rRNA from 1 species
UUUCAAAAACAUUGUCUUAUGAACAUAAUAUUAGAUAAUACCUGCCCAGUGACACUAAGUUCAACGGCCGCGGUAUCCUAACCGUGCAAAGGUAGCAUAAUCAUUUGCCUAUUAAUUGUAGGCUAGAAUGAAAGGGUUAACGAAAUAAAAGCUGUCUCAAUUAAUUAACUAAAAAUUAUUUUCUAUCUGAAGAAAGGUAGAUAUUCUCGAAGGACAAGAAGACCCUAUAGAGCUUAAUUUUAAUUAUAGGAUUAAACUAUAUAAAUAUUCGGUUGGGGCGACCCAGGGCUAAUUCAUCACCCACUAAACAAAAGAUAUAUAAAUCUAAUAAAUGAACCUCUAAAGAUCAUAAAAACAAGCUACCUUAGGGAUAACAGGCUAAUCCCACUUAAGAGUCCUUAUCAAUAGUGGGGUUUGGCACCUCGAUGUUGGCUUAGGGUAUCUCUAUAGCGCAAAAGUUAUAUAAAGAUGGUUUGUUCAACCAGUAAUUCCCUACGUGAUCUGGUU